rnacentral:lncRNA from 1 species
AACCUCCUCAGAAAAACUUAUAUAAAGAUGUGAUGUUAGAGAACUAUAGAAACUUUGCCUUCCUGGGUAAGUUUAAUUUCCUUUUAAAUAUUUUAAUUACUAAUUAUUAUUUAAUUUACUCCUCUUGUGUCUUCUGGGAACUUCUCUGUGAGAAUGAGUUUCAGAUUUGUGUUUCAAAGAAAAAGGGCAUUUUUAGUACAGAUAUUUUACUCUUUAAUAUAUAUUAUUUUAUUCUUUAAUCUCUCUCUUUCUUGGUGUGUUAUACAUCCUUCACUUUAGAUAAGUAGUACCUAACAUAAUUUAGUGAUGUAAACUAUUGUAGCCUAGACAUAGCAGGGGACACAGUUGAGAUGUUCAAAAGGAGAAAACCAAACUAAAAAAUGUUGACAGAGUAGUUAUUCAGCAGAAAAAAAAUUUCAGAAGCUUAUGUUUAUUUCUUUUUAUUGUAAUCAUUGAACACAUACUGCCCUAUAUUUAUUACAUUUUCAAAUUCUUUGUAGUCCUUUGUGUUCUUCUUUACUGAUGUCCCAGUUUAUUCAUAUUAACCACCAAAACUUACCUUUUGUUGUGAGGGCCAGCAUGGUCUCUUACAAAUCUUCUUGUGAGGAAACCUGUAAAGAAGCAAACAGAAGAGAGACACACACACACAUUGAAAAGAAAAAAAGAAAAAACUGGCCACUCCUCUUCUUGGCUGCAUAUAGUAUACCCCAAAAUCACAUAACUUCUGUUACCGUUCAUACAUUAUAACCCAGCCUUAUUUUAUCCCCAAGUGCUAGCUAACCAAGAUAAGGUACAGUUAAUACAAACAUAGAGCCCCUUCUCCCUAAGGACAUUACCACAGAAAGUAGAUAGUGCACUUGUAUAUUUGUCUUAAUAGCUUCAGGGAGAAACUGCUGGGCAUUAACAUUGUGGGUCUCAGGGUGCCAGUUACCAUCACCCUGUCUAUUUCCAAGGUAAGAAUACCUACAGCCCCACCUCCUUUUUAAGGCCUUUUGAAUAAAUAAUAUUACUUAUCUCCUUAAUGCUGGUAGGGGCAAAUUUGUGCAGGCAUAAACAACAGCAAGUGCCAACAUCAGUAAACAUUCACCUAUGAAUAUUUUUUGACCCAGAUAAAAUUGAGUAAACAUGAAGUUAGCCAUUCCAACAAGUCUAAACAUCCAUCAUCUUGUUGGACCUUACUAAUGAUAUAUUUAAGUUAAUCUAACUCUUUUUAAAUAAAACUACUAUUAUCACUGAAAUUGAGGGAACAUAUUUUAUUAAACUUCUGAUAUCUUUUAUGAUGUAGCAAUAACAGACAAUCAAUUGCAGCAUGAUUGUCAAGUAUGGCUUGAAAAUGUUUUUGUACUUCAUGAAGCAUUUAAACAGCCAUGGAGGCAUGACUAAUACUUUUUAUGGUAGCAUAGGCGAGUUUCAUAGUAGUUUUGUAAGCCCGUUGAGCUAAUCCAGGGGAACCCAUUAAGGAGAAUGUCAAAGCAACAAAUUCUGCCUUAGAGAGAAGAUUCACUGAAUCAUCAGAGUUUUUAUCANAAUUAUAGUAUCUUGGCUUCCUCUUUUAAUGUUUCUCCUCUUUUGAGGAAAAUGAUUAUUCUCUUGUUUGGAGGGACUCUUCUCUUCCAGGGUUAAAUGAAACUUAGGAAUCAGCUUGUGAAGUCCCUGAUGAACAUUUAUAAUUGCUAUAUUUCAUACAUCAAGCUAGAGUCCAAACAGGAGAUGUUGGCAUAAGUGUAGCAAUCUAUGCUUUUCCCCAUGUGAUCAAAGGCAUAGGAUCAUGUCAUGCUGGGUCAGGUGGAGUCUUAUAUAUUACCUAAUUUUUUUUGGUAAUGGAUGUUUGUGAAUAAAAUGUCUAUUCACUGCAGAUGACCAAUUUUGAGUAUUUAACUUUAUGUUGUAUAUUGAGCACAUUAACUGUAAAUAAAACAAUAUUUAAUGCAUAUUAAUAGGAGAGAGGCUAGAUCUUUGUUUCUGUUUUAAAAGGCAAGUAUUAGGAUACCACUCAACAGAAGCUUGUCCAAAAGGAUUAUGAGAAAUUUCAUUAUUUAAAACUGUGUCUUAUUGAUUCAAAAUUGUGCAAAAGGAUGAGAUGUAAAGGGAGGGGCAUUAUCCACCUUUAAACAAAUAGGGCCUCUAGGAGCAGAUCAUGCUUGGUUUCUUUCCAUGCUCUCUGCUGGAACUGACUUGGCAGUUUCUUUCUUUAGAUUCAAUUCUGUUAGUAUUUUUUUUUUUGUUUUGUGUUUUGCAAUAUUGCAUUGAUAAUCAUAAAUAUUUUGAAUUGAAAAAUUCAUUAUACUUAUACUUUGUAAGUUGUUUUCUAUAUUUCUUAUUAUUUUCUAUUUAAUUUCUGGAUCAUUGCUUUUUAUUGUGGCAUGCUUAGAUUCUUUUCAUAUAUAUAUAUAAUCUCCCACUUCUCUUUAUAUAUCCUUUAGGUUUUUAAUUUUUACACUAUUUCACAAGUUGCUUAGACUUGUCUUAAACUUGGUUCUCCUUGAUAAGCCUCUCCCAUAUUGGUAAAAUUUCACCUUUGCACACUAGGAAUGCUUCUCUCAUUUUUUCCUAAAGAAUUAUUCACAUAUACAAUUUGUGCUUAUUUAUAUUAAUGUUUUUGGUCUCAAUUUCACUCUUUAAACUUUCUUUAAAUAGUUUUUUAAUGUUUUUUUUUAAUAUUUAUUUUUUAGUUUUCGGUGGACACAACAUCUUUAUUUUAUUUUAUGUGGUGCUGAGGAUUGAACCCAGUGCCCCAUGCAUGCCAGGCGAGCGCGCUACCGCUUGAGUCACAUCCCCAGCCCCAUUAUUUAGUCUUCUUUGAGUAAUUAAUAACAGGCAGUAUCCUUUUUUGUCACUUGGAUUGAGCCAUGCUUCUCCUUGUUUAUAUUUGCUGUAUUAUUUUUAUUUGUUCAUUAAAGGAGCCAACCAUAGGUUAUAUAGCCCAUUAUGGGAAAAAAGUAUAAAAAACUUGUAAAUAAAUAAAAAUAGGCAAGAACAGUGCUACAUCCUUGUAAUAUUUGCUAAUUGGGAGGCCAUGCAAAAGUACUUCAUGUUUUAGGGAGGUCAUAGAAAUUUAGAAACAGCAUGACUCAAAAUAAUUUUUAUUUAUUUAUUUAUUUAUUUAUUUUUUAAAUAUUUAUUUUUAUUUAUUUUUUUUUUUUAGUUUUCAGUGGACACAACAUCUUUGUUUGUAUGUGGUGCUGAGGAUCGAACCCGGGCCGCACACAUGCCAGGCGAGCGUGCUACCGCUUGAGCCACAUCCCCAGCCCUCAAAAUAAUUUUUAAAAGGCUUGUGUUGUAGUUCAGUGAUAUAGAAUUUGGGGGGUUAAUCUCAAGCACUACACAUGAAGAAUUAAAAGUUGGAUGACCUAAAGAUCCAGAAAUGCCAGUGCUAAAUAUGUAUCCAUGAAAAUUUAAAUCAGAAAAUUGAAGAGAUACCUCUGCUUUUGUGUUUAGUGCACAUAUUGUUUUCAUUUAAAGCUAGGGACUCAAUGUAUGUGCCCAUCAAUGAUUAAAUGAGUAAAAAUAUUGUACUUAUAUACUAUUAUUAUUCAGUUGUAAAAAUAUUUUAUCUUUUAAAGUGUUAUAAGAAAUAUAUGCAGGACUUUGCAUUAAGUGAAAUGUGGCAUGCAGAGAUUAAGUUGCAGGAGCAUUUGAUUCACAUGUGGAAGUGUGGAAAUCAGAAAUUUAGUGAGUAAAAUUUUGCUCACCAGGUACUGUGUUUUGUGUAGGGUUGAUAUUAUAGUCAAAGUCUCAUAUUUUUUUAAAUUUUAUUGCACAUAAGAGGCUCAAGAGUUUUGUUUUACCACAUGGUGAGAGUAUUAUGUUCUUUAUAAAUACUAUUAGAAGGAAUACAAUACCUUGUAAGAACCAAACUGAUAAUUAUAUGAAAAAAUGAUUACGUUAAUUCAUUCUUUUUUUGUGCAUUAUUUCGUUCUAUUUAGUCAUUUUACCUUGUACAUAUAGUAUAAAAUACAUGAUAUAUUUAGGAAAUAAACAAAGGUGUAUUUGUCAAUGGAAGAAAUCAUCAUAUCACACAAAUUUAGAAAUAUAAAAAUCAAUUUAUUAUACUUGAUUGUUAUGUGUUGACUUCAAGUAUUAUAGCCAUAGGCUAUGCAAGGUUUUUAUAGUCUUUUAAAAUGUUUUUUUAUGGAAAAUUUUAUAGACAUAUGUGUAUAUUUCUUAGUAAAUUUUUUGUUCAUAUUUCUUUUUAAGAGUCCACAGCCUCUUUACCCUUGUUGAAUAUUUGUGAUAUUAUCACUUAAAAUAUACUAGUUAUUUUCAUGUCUGUAUGUCCUGGUAGACCAAAACCCGUUUUUGGACACUCUUUGAAAAAGCCAAAAAUGUUUGUAUAUGUUUUACAUUUUUCUUAUUCUACUGAGAAUGAAGGUAGUUGGUAGAUAUUUCCUAAAUACACAGUAAUAUCUUAUGGAGGACAAAAGGCUGUGGAUGAUAAAAGUAACAUACUUACCUUCUCUUUAUUAUAUUACUUUUCUUAAUGAUGUACUCAUCUUGCAUACUGUGGUCUGUACAAGAAUUGGGGUAAUAUUCUCACGGUAAUUUUGUCUGUACAUUUUUAUUAAACUGAUAUAUUUUUUUCUUUAUGAUGAUUUGGACUUACUCCUGAUGUAUUUAUCUUAAUUUCAUGUUAUGUAUGCAAAAUAUAUUUAUCCCUGUCUAAUAGAUAUUGUUUUUUUUUUAUUUUUGUUUAUUUCAGCCAUGACUCUUCAUGAUACCCAAGAAUAUUCAUCAGAAAAGGGCAUAAAACAUAUAUUUCACAGAGUGAUAAGUGGGAAAUAUAAAAGUUGUGAUCUUGACUAUUUACAACAAAAGAAAAUAUGGAAAACUACAAGUGAGUGUGAACACCAGAAAUCAUAUAAAAAAUCAGGCCUUGUUCACCACCAGAGAAUUCACACUGGAGAGAAGCCCUACAAA